GGAGGGUUCAGCAGGUAGGUGGUGGCAAGAAGUCCUGGGAGGAAUGUUCCAUGCCAGUCUUUUGGUCUAUCUUCAUAAACAGUAUCUGAAGGUCAUUCUGCUUGAAAAUUACACUCAGGAAGCCUUAACCCUACCACUAUUUCUAAGGCCCAUCCCCCACUCCUGCUACCUUUUACUGAUUCUGUUACAAUCGACAAGUGCUUACAGUCCUGUAAGAAGCCAGGAUUCCAGGCUUCCCUUCAUCUAGACAGGGCUUUGAGUGGGAUCCAGCCCAACUGGCCCUACUUUGGUGCACACUCUGAAUGGUUUCUAGAAUCAGCAUGGAUUUAGGUGUGUGUUCUAUGGACCAUGUUCCAUUAGUUUGGUGCUGUAAGGCUACCCUGUGGAAAUAGAAAGAAUCACCCUCUGCUUACACAGUGAUCCACCGGGAGAAGUCAACCCGAACAGGAGAUGUUGCCUUUGAGCAACAGGCUUACUACUGCAUCCUGUCAGGCCUGCUGCCUGGCUGAUUUUCUACCCCAUUACAGGGCCACUUGCAACCCAUCACACAUCUUAGGCCUAGUAAUGGUGGUCAGUCAUGUUGUCCCUGCCGCAGCCCCAAUUGCACAUUCAACCUGAGCAACCACAUGGACUCUGUGCAGCCUUUGAAAUCUGUGGGGCUGAGCUGUCCCAAAGGUGUUUUAGAAAGAGAUGUUAGCCAUCACUGUGGCAGUCACAGCUGACUGUCUCACACACACCCACUCUAUUGCUGAUGGCACUUAGCUCAUGAACUCCAGGUUGAUUGGCCUGAUUUGUGCUCCUUAGGGUAUGUUCUCAUUUUCUGGACUAAGACAUAGUUGAGUGACUAAACCAUGCCUCCUGCCCUCCUGCCCUGUCCUAACCUUAAUGCAAAUGCAAUGUGAUUCAAGUCCUGAUGCAGUUGCCUUAGGACCUGGGUCCACAGAAGCUGGAAGCAGGGGUCGGAUGAGUCAGGGGACUCAGGUAGAGGGGCUGUGCUUGCCAGCAGCAUCAGGUGCCUGGUGAGAGGAGCACUGUUCAGGCUCAGCUGCACCACUUUCUCUCUGUGGGUCUCAGUUGCCUCAGCUAUACAAGCUGCCCUUCAUGUCUUAGUAGGGGUGCUAUGAAGAAGACCUUAAUAAAGACAAAGCCGCUUCACCAGGGUUGCUUAUUUUGUUUUGCAGUCAUGUAAUUUCCAUUCAUUCAUGUGUGGCCUGUGUAAACCAUCUGCUUCUUAGGUCAUUAAAAUAGAUCCAUUUAGUGUUAGCUCAGUCUUCAAUGGCUUUAGUCAGUAGGGUGAACAGCACAGUCCAGUUAGGGUAUUGAGGAUAGUCACUGCCCCAUAGCUCAGAGCUCUCCAGCCUGCCAAUUCAAGGCUCUGAGGAAGAAGGGAAAGGGAUCUAGGCUGACUGGGACCCUGGACUUUGUUUCCAUUCCCAAAACAGCAUGGAGAGGGUAACGCGCUCGCCUGGUAUGCGUGCAGGCCCGGGUUCGAUCCUCAGCACCACAUACAAAGAUGUGUCCGCUGAAAACUGAAAAAUAAAUAUUAAAAAAAACUCUCUCUCUCUC
rnacentral:lncRNA from 1 species